CUUGCAUAAGCUUUAGAUCCCAUAAAUUCUCAAACCACGGUACCCUCCAUGAUUUCCAGUUAGCUAUUACCACAUUGUAGAAUUCGGUCCUGCUUUGGGAGAAUAGUAAGGAGAACGAAUAAAAUACAUUGUUUCAAUUCACUGGCAGCAAGGAAGAAACCGGUAUUUAUUUGCAUAAGGAAAGCAAAGAGGAAAAGAAAAUUGGAGGUCACCCCUUUCACUGGGUGUGGGCCAAUGAACUUCAGGUAUAGAUAACACACACAGAUGGCUCAUCCUGGAAACUUUCCCAAAGACUCAUCAAUUUUCCAAGGAAAUAUCACAAAGUGUGCAGGCCAAGAUUCCCCAGAAUUCAUCUCCAAAUCCUGACCUCGCUGUUUCCACAAAUCCCAGGCUGGUGCUGGAAGAAGCUGUCAGUGGGAUGGGGCCACUCACAUCAUGGAGCACUCAUGGAGCACUGUUGCUGCACUCACCCUUCAAGGAACCUGGAUGCUCCUCACUGUAGCCUGUCUACCUGCAGAGUAGCUGUGGUCCCUUUGUCUGGGCAUGAAGAAGAGGCAGAGACAUUGCAUCCUGUCUACAUCCAGAUGUGUCAUGGUACAUAGCAGCAUAGAAAGGGAGAGUGACUCCCUUCAUGGCAAAAUGGGAUGUUCCCAUAAUUCCCCUGGAGAUCUGGAGGCAGAAAGAUGUCAGCGAUUAAUUCUAUUAUGUGGUUGAUACAGUUAGUCAACUUAUGUAAAAGGACCCAUACUUGUGACUCAGUUUUUUCCCUCUUUCUGAUGGUUCCAGUCUCUUAGAUUUGUACAUUAUCUGCGACGGAUCUAUCAUUUAUCUAGAGAAUACCCUUGUCAUUCACUGCAUUUAAUUAGCUUAUGGAUUCUAAAUUAUCUGCUACCAUAAAAUGUGAUUUUUAUACUGCAGAUUACAAAGGUUUUCAGAAAUUUAAUAUGCCACUUUUAAUUGGUG
ensembl:lncRNA